rnacentral:rRNA from 1 species
ACGGAAGGCAGCAGUGGGGAAUAUUGCACAAUGGGGGAAACCCUGAUGCAGCGACGCCGCGUGAGUGAAGAAGUAUUUCGGUAUGUAAAGCUCUAUCAGCAGGAAAGAAAAUGACGGUACCUGACUAAGAAGCCCCGGCUAACUACGUGCCAGCAGCCGCGGUAAUACGUAGGGGGCAAGCGUUAUCCGGAUUUACUGGGUGUAAAGGGAGCGUAGACGGCUUUGCAAGUCUGAAGUGAAAGCCCGGGGCUCAACCCCGGAACUGCUUUGGAAACUGUUAAGCUAGAGUGCAGGAGAGGUAAGUGGAAUUCCUAGUGUAGCGGUGAAAUGCGCAGAUAUUAGGAGGAACACCAGUGGCGAAGGCGGCUUACUGGACUGUAACUGACGUUGAGGCUCGAAGGCGUGGGGAGCAAACAGGAUUAGAUACCCUGGUA